rnacentral:lncRNA from 1 species
AAUAAUCCGUCCAUCUGCAUAAUAUUUGUUUGCACACCACUUCUCUAAAACCAAAAUGUCAAAUCAUUAUGCAGGUUGGUUCUCAAACCUAUUGAAUAUAAUGAUCCUACUCCCUCUCCCAACUUUAAUUUCCUUAUGUUUGAAGGUGAGGAAGAGAAUGAUGAUGAAGAAGUAUUUGAUGAGUUAUCCCGUUUGCUUGAGCACGAGGAAAAAGCCAUUCAGUAGUUUGAGGAGCAGAUUGAAU